rnacentral:tRNA from 1 species
GUUUUCGUAGUGUAGUGGUUAUCACGUUCGCCUCACACGCGAAAGGCCCCCCGGUUCGAACCCGGGCGAAAACA